rnacentral:rRNA from 1 species
UACGAAGGGGGCUAGCGUUGUUCGGAAUUACUGGGCGUAAAGCGCACGUAGGCGGAUAUUUAAGUCAGGGGUGAAAUCCCAGAGCUCAACUCUGGAACUGCCUUUGAUACUGGGUAUCUUGAGUAUGGAAGAGGUAAGUGGAAUUGCGAGUGUAGAGGUGAAAUUCGUAGAUAUUCGCAAGAACACCAGUGGCGAAGGCGGCUCACUGGCCCGAUACGUGACGCUGAGGAGCGAAAGCGUGGGAGCGAACAGG